CUAAGGUCGUAGGAGGUUAUACAGGCAAAUCCGUAUAACAAUACUCCGAGAACUGAAAGGCUUUUUGAAGUCUUCGGAUGGAUAGAAGAACCCCUGAUGCCGUCGAGCCAAGAAAAGUUUCUAAGUUUAGCUAAUGUUGCCCGUACCGUAAACCGACACAGGUGGGUGGGAUGAGUAUUCUAAGGCGCGUGGAAGAACUCUCUUUAAGGAACUCUGCAAAAUAGCACCGUAUCUUCGGUAUAAGGUGUGGUUAGCUUUGUAUUAGGAUUUACUCCGAAAGCAAGGAAACUUACAACAAAGAGUCCCUCCCGACUGUUUACCAAAAACACAGCACUCUGCUAACUCGUAAGAGGAUGUAUAGGGUGUGACGCCUGCCCGGUGCUCGAAGGUUAAUUGAUGGGGUUAGCAUUAGCGAAGCUCUUGAUCGAAGCCCGAGUAAACGGCGGCCGUAACUAUAACGGUCCUAAGGUAGCGAAAUUCCUUGUCGGUUAAAUACCGACCUGCAUGAAUGGCGUAACGAGAUGGGAGCUGUCUCAAAGAGGGAUCCAGUGAAAUUGUAGUGGAGGUGAAAAUUCCUCCUACCCGCGGCAAGACGGAAAGACCCCGUGGACCUUUACUACAGCUUGACACUGCUACUUGGAUAAGAAUGUGCAGGAUAGGUGGGAGGCUUUGAGUAUAUGACGCCAGUUGUAUAUGAGCCAUUGUUGAGAUACCACUCUUUCUUAUUUGGGUAGCUAACCAGCUUGAGUUAUCCUCAAGUGGGACAAUGUCUGGUGGGUAGUUUGACUGGGGCGGUCGCCUCCCAAAUAAUAACGGAGGCUUACAAAGGUUGGCUCAGAACGGUUGGAAAUCGUUCGUAGAGUAUAAAGGUAUAAGCCAGCUUAACUGCAAGACAUACAAGUCAAGCAGAGACGAAAGUCGGUCUUAGUGAUCCGGUGGUUCUGUGUGGAAGGGCCAUCGCUCAAAGGAUAAAAGGUACCCCGGGGAUAACAGGCUGAUCUCCCCCAAGAGCUCACAUCGACGGGGAGGUUUGGCACCUCGAUGUCGGCUCAUCGCAUCCUGGGGCUGGAGCAGGUCCCAAGGGUAUGGCUGUUCGCCAUUUAAAGCGGUACGCGAGCUGGGUUCAGAACGUCGUGAGACAGUUCGGUCCCUAUCUGCCGUGGGCGUAAGAAGAUUGAAGAGAUUUGACCCUAGUACGAGAGGACCGGGUUGAACAAACCACUGGUGUAGCUGUUGUUCUGCCAAGAGCAUCGCAGCGUAGCUAAGUUUGGAAAGGAUAAACGCUGAAAGCAUCUAAGCGUGAAGCCAACUCUAAGAUGAAUCUUCUCUAAGCUCUCUAGAAGACUACUAGUUUGAUAGGCUGGGUGUGUAAUGGAUGAAAGUCCUUUAGCUGACCAGUACUAAUAGAGCGUUUGGCUUAUCUUU
rnacentral:rRNA from 1 species